rnacentral:misc_RNA from 1 species
AAGAGUUUGGUACCUUCGGGUACUAUCUCCAACCAUUUGUGAACUUACUUUGUUGCCUCGACAUCCGAUGAGUACCCAAUCGGUGUACCCAUCCUUCGGUUGCUUUGCACCUGAAGAGUGAUGUCAGAGGAUUUUUAAACAUCUUUUAAUCAAGUCUUCUGAGUUAAAAUCAAUAAAAACA